GAUGAACGCUAGCUACAGGCUUAACACAUGCAAGUCGAGGGGAAACGACAUCGAAAGCUUGCUUUUGAUGGGCGUCGACCGGCGCACGGGUGAGUAACGCGUAUCCAACCUGCCCAUCACUUGGGAAUAACCUUGCGAAAGUAAGACUAAUACCCAAUGACAUCCCACGAAGACAUCUGAAUGGGAUUAAAGAUUUAUCGGUGAUGGAUGGGGAUGCGUCUGAUUAGCUUGUUGGCGGGGUAACGGCCCACCAAGGCAACGAUCAGUAGGGGUUCUGAGAGGAAGGUCCCCCACAUUGGAACUGAGACACGGUCCAAACUCCUACGGGAGGCAGCAGUGAGGAAUAUUGGUCAAUGGGCGAGAGCCUGAACCAGCCAAGUAGCGUGCAGGAUGACGGCCCUAUGGGUUGUAAACUGCUUUUAUAAGGGAAUAAAGUGGGUCUCGGGAGACUUUUUGCAUGUACCUUAUGAAUAAGAACCGGCUAAUUCCGUG
rnacentral:rRNA from 1 species